ensembl:lncRNA
UUUUCAGUUGUGCAAGGAGCAAAUACCGGUAAGACGUAAAUCCUCCAGCAGUGCCCAGGUCGUUUGGACGGCGCAAGCACAGGAAAUCAGGAAAUUGUUGCUGCUCAGCAUUCGGCUGCAAAAAUACCGUUCUUGAGGAGAGCUGAAGAAAGAAGGGGACUGCAGGAAUUCACAGUCCAAAAUGAUGACCAAGACUUCCCUGUGAGGGCCUUGACUUCUGCCAUCCCACCCCUGUGGCGGUUCUCCAUGGAAGACCAACAGCAUCUCCCAAAUCUUUCCUAUUGCUCUGAAGAAUAACAGGUAGCUUGCUCCUUGAGCAGUCAGCUUGCUCUUGACACGAUUGCUCUUGGACAAUCAUCUGAGGGCCACUAAUGUCCUGCAAAUCGCAUCUUUCACAUUUUGCAGCAUAUCCCCUUACGGUUCCUCAUGCCCUUGG